CAGCUGCUCGCCCCCGCCCCGCCCCCUGCUCCUUUCCAGCAGGAGGGGCAUAAAAUAGAAGACUCUUCUGAUUCCUGCAUCUAUGGAAAGUGGUGAACGGCCCAUCCUGCCUUCUGUUCCUCAGUGCUAGAGUCUGUUUUAUGCACGAGACUGGGAAGAAAUACUUCAUUCAGCACUAAGGGACAUCAGCAUCUGGUGACAAAGUAGAAGAGAGGAAGCUUUCCACAUGCAUUAUUUGUGCUGACCAUUCAAAGCUUCAGCCUACAGGAAGAUAUAAAUGCUUCAGCAAAUGAGAGGCCUUAUUCUGUUCCCACAUCGUCCCCAAAGUCUGUACAGAACCAGGUCGUAAGGAAGUAGAAUGUGGAGCCAUAUAUGGUGGCUUAAUCUUACUCUGAAUAAUUUGCCAUUAGCUCCCACAGAUUAAAAUGAAUUCAAAAUCAACUCAAGUUUUAUGAAGAUGUAGAGAGAUGAUGAAUGGACAGCAACUGUUUGAACAACUUACUUCACCUUUCAAAGAAAUGCCUGUGUCACAUACACCCUGGCAGGAUGUAAGAUGGUUACAGGAUUUGAAUGGGAUGUUACUAAGAUGAUGGAUAAUAAUACCUUGUUGUUGUUUUGUGCAAUGGCUUUGAUCCAUCAUCAGUAACCCCCCAUGCAAUGAACUGCACAUGUAAUUGCUGGUGGAAGAGCCUGGCUCCAAAGAGCAGUGCAGUGGUGUUGACCAGGAUAACGAGUAGUUCUGACAACCAUCUGUUUACUCCUUGGUUGUUUUGAAAUCAUGCCUGUAUACUCAUUGUGUUAUUUGUUGUUGUUUAUUAGGCUUAUUGUAAAAACUAUUGUGCCUUAACAUAAAGAGUUGGUCAAAAUACUGAGAAAAAUUGGCAGCAAAUAAAACAGAUUAAAAAAAGGCUGAUAUUUUAAACAAACAUCUUUUUGUUUCUUUUUCUUCCGUCAUC
rnacentral:lncRNA from 7 species